rnacentral:rRNA from 1 species
UACGGAGGGUGCGAGCGUUGUCCGGAAUCACUGGGCGUAAAGGGCGCGUAGGCGGCUGGGGAAGUCGGCGGUGAAAGCCCGGAGCUCAACUCCGGGUCGGCCGUCGAGACUCCUCGGCUCGAGCUCACUAGAGGCAGAUGGAAUUCCGGGUGUAGCGGUGGAAUGCGUAGAUAUCAGGAGGAACACCUAUAGCGAAGGCAGCUCGCUGGGACGACACUGACGCUGAGACGCGAAAGCGUGGGGAGCGAACAGG